UGUCAAUAUUUACAGAAUAUUAAUAAUAUAUUCUAUUAUUUAGAGAAUGACUAGAAAAAACAAGUUCAGUAUAGAUGAACCCCCCUCCAAUCUCUGAUUGGUUGAAUCAGAGGAUGUGGAACCCCCAUGAUAUAGAGAGGUGAGUGUGUAUGGUCGUGUGCUAGUGCUCACUGUUAAUAAAAGUUCUUGCUGCUAAGGAAUUUGAGAACCAAUGUGUGCUUAAAGUUGAGAUCUAGUGGAAAAAAAAAUGAGUAUGUCCAAAAAUCUAUUUAGAACUUCAUUCAGAGAUAUUUAGCCCUUUGAACCUAGAGACUAUUGAAGUUAAUGCAAGGUUCAGUCAAGAUAAAACAGGACAGUGAAUUGGGAGGAGGUUUGGGGUCUCUUGUCCCAAUUGUUGCGUACAUUGUGUGACUUUCAAUUUCCUUGACUAUAAAAUGAAUUUGGUAGUUCCCCAGUGAAAUUCUGUGGACUAAUGAUAAAUUAACUGGCAUUCAAUUUUACACACACACACACACACACACACACAUUCCAUGUGCUUCUGAUGUACAAACAAGAUUUGGGGAAUGGUGGGCUGGGUAAUUUUAUCCUCUGAAUCUAUGCUGUUUAACUUGGAAACACAAAUUUAUUUUGCUGAUCUUAGAACAUAGGAUUGAAUAAACCAUCCCUAUGGGAGAAAAAAAAGUGAAACACCUUUAUCUAGUUCAAAUAAAAAGGAGAAAUAUAU
rnacentral:lncRNA from 1 species